rnacentral:lncRNA from 1 species
ACAGAAUUUAAUUUAACAAUAAAUGAAACUACAGUGUAAUGAGGUUAUGACACCUACAGUAUAUUAUGGUUUAAAAUUGUAUAAUGUAUACUGUUCCACUUUAAGUAUUUACUAUGCAGUACGCAUUAAGCACUGUUAGUAUUUUAUUCCAAUCAUAACCUCAUUGUGCUUUGCUCAGGGUCAGCUCAGUGGUAUCUCUUCCACCGAGUCCUCCCUUAAAAGAAAUAAACGGAGAGCUCCGCCCCCACCAUGUGAUGGCCCCACCCCAUCCGAUUCAGAUAACAAAGUAGAGGAAGCUCAAGGGGACGACAAGAGUUCAGACAAAUACAGAGCUUGCACUGCUGACCGCUGCCCUGCAAUUGCUAAAGUUAUGAGUGAACUUGCAGAAUCUCUGCAGGCACGGCAACAGAGAACCCUAUCUUCUGUAAAUUCUUCUAUAUCCCAGAAUCAGCUAGCAGAAGAUUCUUCUACAGGUUUGUUUUCUGAGCAUCACACCCCUGAGGCUGAGCUUAAGGCACUUUCUGGCUGUCAGCUGCUGAGAAACCCCUCUGAGAGAGAAGGUUUGACCACCUUCACUGUGGUUCCCCAGAGACGUCAGCAGAGCAGGCAGUGUUUUGAGGUGCCACUAACCUUACAGACACCCGACACUGCUAAAGCCGAACAAGAGCUGUGCCCUGGAGACCAAGAUGCUCUUGAGAUCUCCACCACAGAGAUUUUGGAAGCAGUCACAACUGAACCUUUCAGAUAUGUGUGCAAACGUUCAGAUAAAAGUGAGCACUUAUCAGAGGUUCUACAUCUACAGCAUGUGAAGCAAGAGAAUCAAGCUUGUACAAAUGUAGAGAGCGAGAAUUUGGAACUUAAAGAUGAAGAGGACCAAUUUAUUCAUCCAGAAAACAUGGAGCUUGAGAGCUUAAAAUCAUUCCAAAGAGGCCUCGGUGAUCUAGAACAUUUAGGUAGCACAAUGAACAAUCUAGAACUAAAAGACAGUUGGGCUAAUCCUUCGAAACUUGCUGAUAGGUCACCAGUCAAUCCAAAUACACAUCUUGUGGAGCAAGAGGAGAGGGAAGAGCAUGCGUUGGUGGAAACUGGAGAAGAAAAGGAUUUGGUAGAAGAAUACAAAGAGAGAAGAAGGAAGUUUCUAGGUGGUGAUGAUGGUAUGAAAAAUGUAGAUGUUUGGGGAAGGAUCCAGAAAGAAUUUACGAACAGGCAAGAAGAAAAAACAAUACAAGAAAUGGACUUCCCAUCACCUCCACUGCCUGUCUGCUGGGAUGAGAAUAAUGGUGAAAAUGAAGAGGAUUCGAGCGAGCUAGAAAUGCAGACCUGUGAUGAAGACCUUGACCAAUGGGCAAACUUAGACUCAAAGCCCAAAUAUGCACCUUGUCUACAAUAUGCCACACCAAAAGCCCACUCGCCCCAAACUAAUACUGAUCUGAACAUCUCUAGGGCUGAAAACAAUUGCAGCUCUGAUCCUGAACCUCACAGGACUUCCUUUUUAUCUGAAUCACAUUCAAGCUUUGACCCCUACCCUCCUGCAACAGUCUCUCUUUUCGCCUUGGCUGUAUUUCAGAAGGCUAAGCGCUCCAAACCAGGGCUGGAUCCCAACUGCUCCAGGAGACGGAAGCUGCCCGUGCACACACACAGUAAUUGAUGGCCAGUCUGAAUAUGGUAGUGUUCAUUUGGCUUAAAUAUGGAGGAUGUUCUUCACCAGAAUGAACAGGAGGACACACUAUAUUAAACUACUCUAUUAAAACCGCUAUUUCUUAUAAGAUUAUUUGAUUCUGUGUUUUAGCAUUAUGAAUAUUUUGGAUGAAAAACAUUCUGAAAGAUCUGACCUGUAUUUUCCUUUUUUUUUCUAUUUUUUUUUUCUUUUUUUUCUCGACUGAUUUUCACAGAUCCUUUCAGAAAGGAGUAUUUUUCCAGCCUUUUAAUUGACUCAACAGGAACGUUAUUGUGCCAAGAGUAAACUUUGCCCCCACUGAAUACACUUGGGGUAAAAACAUGCAUGUAUUCAUAUGUGCACAUUUUUGUAUAUUGAUGAAGGCUUAUAUUGCCGAAUUGAAGUCUUUUUUUUUUCUUAGAGAAAUUAGUCCUGAGAAACUUGCCAGGAUACAGUUUUCUUCAUGUUGUCGUUUGUAUUUUUGAGCAUAAAUAAAUAACAUUUGUUUGUAAACUUCAGGCAAAGUGUUUCAUCAUUCAGAUUUAGUGAAAAAUAUAAAAGCAAAGUCAGAGUGGGUGGUGCUGUGAUGUUAAAGAAAUAGUUCUCCCAGAAAUGGGGGGGAAAAAAAUGUACUUGCCCUCAGGCCAUCUAAGAUGUAGCCUAGAUGAAUUUCUUUCUUCAUGAGGACUGAUUUGGAGAAAUUUUGCAUUACAUAAUUUUUUCACCAAUGGAUCCUCCAUGAAGCACCAUAUAUGACGGCGACUCUUCUUCUAUGCAACCAUGAUGUUAAAAUGUUGUGAAUGGUAAGAAAUCCUUAUUGAUAACAUUCAUAACUAUACUGUACAUUGUCCAUCAUAACUGACAUAUUUAUAAAUAUAAUCUGAAAAUUGUACAUUUGUCAAAUGCAC